ACAGAGAGAUACAUCCAAGAUCAAGUGAGGAACUAAUACCACUCAAUAAAGCCUUAGUAAGACCACACCUAGAGUACUGCAUCCAGUUUUGGUCAGUACGCUAUAAAAAAGAUGUUGAGACUCUAGAAAAAGUACAGAGAAGAGCAACCAGG